rnacentral:rRNA from 1 species
UACGUAGGUGGCAAGCGUUGUCCGGAAUUAUUGGGCGUAAAGCGCGCGCAGGCGGUCCUUUAAGUCUGAUGUGAAAGCCCACGGCUCAACCGUGGAGGGUCAUUGGAAACUGGGGGGACUUGAGUGCAGAAGAGGAGAGUGGAAUUCCACGUGUAGCGGUGAAAUGCGUAGAGAUGUGGAGGAACACCAGUGGCGAAGGCGACUCUCUGGUCUGUAACUGACGCUGAGGCGCGAAAGCGUGGGGAGCGAACAGG